GGAAUCCGUCGCAUUAUGAGUUUUCUCUCCAACCAUAGAUGUGUUAGCGUGGUCUGCACUGGCUGUAAAAAUGUCCUACUCAUGGUUGGAAGUUUCGAAUCUAUCUCCAGUUUUAUUAACGAGUAUAAACCAAGCAAAGCUCCACUGUCGACUUCUUGGAGUUUCAGGUUUACCCAGGACAUGUGAAUCACCUUCGCAAAUAAAGGCAUAUAAUUUUGGCAUAUAAUUUUACACGCACGCAAACUAUAUUCCUAUCGUGGACGGCGACAUACUGCUUUGGGACCAGUACGGAUACUUACGACACUCAAUCAACCUCACCGACCACAGAUCCAUGACCGACCAGACAAUGAAAUUGACAAACUUGUUUCCACAGUACCACAUGAGGAAGUUGUUGGAGAUAGACACUGGACACGUACGAGACAUGCUAACUGCUCUCGACAUUCACCACAGAAGGGUAAGAAGCCUUGACUUCCUAGGUACAGCUUUUAAGGCUGUAGAGCGUACGCCAACUCAAAUGACCUGAAGAAUAUAGAACGAAUACAGACGCAGCUAGUCACUGUAAACAAUAGACAAAUCGGCAUUAGCACCAGAACGCAAGAAAAGAUUAAUCAACUCACGGACAUAGUCAAUAAAAUUCUGAAGACCACAAAGGACCAACAGGUGGACACGGGUCACUUGUUUGAGACCCUCACUACACGCAAUAGAAUGUUAAUAACCGAAUUGGAAGCUCUCAAUGAUUAAUGAGCCCUCAUGAACAAGUUAACGUAAUUAAUCCAGAAAUCAUAGACCAAAAACCACUGAUCAAGUCACAGAGACCUAUAUUACCGAUUUAAUGAAAGUAUCUAAUAUUAAGAUAGAUCGUAAAGAAAACAUCAACAAUUUUAUAAUCCAAUUUCUCCAUUGUAAGCAAGCUAUGCAGGAUGAUCACCAUCUACCUAGUCGCGCACAACGGGCUGGUACUCCAGCUACCAGGACGACCUGGUAGCCGAAUGCAACGGAAAGGUCAUGGCCGCGACAAAUUGCACCCAAACAGCGACAGCCACAUUCUGCAAAGGGUCAGAGAACGUUACCUGUGCGCAAGGUCUCCAUUCAGGAGACAUCGCUCACUGUCAGAAGCAACCAAGCCACCUGGACCCUGUCACUGUGGUCGACGACGGCAUCAUCAUCGUAAACGAUUGUAGCGCCACCAUCAGCUAUGACGACUGCUCCGUGGAACAAACCUCAUCUACAAGUCUCCGAAAUAGUCGAGAACUAUGACGCGACCGAGGGCGGUCGAUCUUGAGAGGGGGAGUAGUUAACCACCGACACUGGACGUGUGCUGAUUUAGCAUAUUAGCGAGGUCCACGACCAGGGUCACAGGCACGGCUGAUGUGUCGCAACAAUAUUGGCAGCCGCUGCAGCAAUCCGACACCACCCACAAGGCGCAAGUCAGCAGUUCCCACGGGUGCCGAACAGCUGCUAGCGACGGUGGAGUUCCUGGAACGGCGGCGACGGUUCUGCGGCGACGGCAGCGCCGCGGCAGCACCGGCCGCGAAGCCGGCUGCAAUCAUAACAUUUUAUUUAAUUUAUGAUUCGUCUCAAGUUAGAAUCUAAUGAAAGCGCAGCGUAUCGCUCGCAGUAGAUAACUAAUUCUCAUUCUUCAUAUCGGCCAGCUACCGCUACCGAAUUUGAUAUCAGUUACAACCCAAUCAAUUAUAUCCAAUAUUCUUAGCUAGCUACUCUUCUAAGGGAUUGUAACUAACGUAAUCAAUAAAGAACUUAAU